GAUAGUAUGGUGCAGUGGUAGCACAUCCGCGGUCUACGGCGCCUGUGUGAAGACUCCGGUUCGAACCCGGAUACUAUCG
rnacentral:tRNA from 1 species